GGGAGUGUAGCUCAGUGGUAGAGUACUUGCCUGACAUAUAUGAAGCCCUGAGUUCAAUCCCCAGCACCA
rnacentral:tRNA from 1 species